rnacentral:rRNA from 1 species
AGCGAACGCUGGCGGCGUGCUUAACACAUGCAAGUCGAGUGCGCGUUUCCGUAGCAAUACGGAAAUGGCGCACGGCGCACGGGUGCGUAACACGUGGGUAAUCUGCCCUCUGAUGGGGAAUAACUCGCCGAAAGGCGAGCUAAUACCGCAUAACAUUCCUUGGACUCCGGUUCGAGGAUUCAAAGGCGUAAGUCGUCGGAGGUGGAGCCCGCGCACGAUUAGCUAGUUGGUGAGGUAAUGGCUCACCAAGGCUAUGAUCGUUAGCUGGUC